GACUCCGUGAAGCUGGAUUCGCUAGUAAUCGCGCAUCAGCCAUGGCGCGGUGAAUACGUUCCCGGGCCUUGUACACACCGCCCGUCAAGCCAUGGGAGCCGGGGGUACCUGAAGUCCGUAACCGAAAGGAUCGGCCUAGGGUAAAACUGGUGACUGGGGCUAAGUCGUAACAAGGUACC
rnacentral:rRNA from 1 species